rnacentral:rRNA from 1 species
GACGAACGCUGGUGGCGUGCCUAAUACAUGCAAGUCGAGCGCAGGAAACUGACGGAACUCUUCGGAGGGAAGGCAGUGGAAUGAGCGGCGGACGGGUGAGUAACACGUAAGGAACCUGCCUCAAGGAUUGGGAUAACUCCGAGAAAUCGGAGCUAAUACCGGAUAGUUCAACGGACCGCAUGGUCCGCUGAUGAAAGGCGCUUCGGCGUCACCUUGAGAUGGCCUUGCGGUGCAUUAGCUAGUUGGUGGGGUAACGGCCCACCAAGGCGACAAUGCAUAGCCGACCUGAGAGGGUGAUCGGCCACACUGGGACUGAGACACGGCCCAGACUCCUACGGGAGGCAGCAGUAGGGAAUCUUCCACAAUGGACGAAAGUCUGAUGGAGCAACGCCGCGUGAGUGAUGAAGGUUUUCGGAUCGUAAAACUCUGUUGUAAGGGAAGAACACGUACGAGAGGGAAUGCUCGUACCUUGACGGUACCUUACGAGAAAGCCACGGCUAACUACGUGCCAGCCGCCGCCGUAACAC